rnacentral:misc_RNA from 1 species
GUCUUUUUAUUGUCUCAACUAACUCUGUCAAACAAACAAGCGUAAACAUCAAGGCCUUGCGACCUUGUGCUAAUGUUGUGAGAUACUACGCAAGCGCAGCACUCGCAAAAGAUUUGUAAUGAUCCUUCCGCAGGUUCACCUACGGAAA